ACGCUGGCGGCACGCCUAACACAUGCAAGUCGAACGAAGUAGCAAUACUUAGUGGCGAACGGGUGAGUAUAAUGUGGGUAUCUGCCUUUUGGUUUGGAAUAACACGAGGAAACUUGUGCUAAUACCGGAUAAGCCUUCACAGGGAAAGUUUUAACGCCAAAAGAUGAGCCUGCACUUGAUUAGCUAGUUGGUAAGGUAAAAGCUUACCAAGGCUACGAUCAAUAGCUGAUCUGAGAGGAUGAUCAGCCACAUUGGGACUGAGACACGGCCCAGACUCCUACGGGAGGCAGCAGUGGGGAAUCUUGCACAAUGGGGGAAACCCUGAUGCAGCGAUGCCGCGUGAGUGAAGAAGGCCCUUGGGUUGUAAAGCUCUUUCGUCGGGGAAGAAAAUGACUGUACCCGAAUAAGAAGGUCCGGCUAACUUCGUGCCAGCAGCCGCGGUAAUACGAAGGGACCUAGCGUAGUUCGGAAUUACUGGGCUUAAAGAGCUCGUAGGUGGUUAGAAAAGUUAGUGGUGAAAUCCCAAGGCUUAACCUUGGAACUGCCACUAAAACUUUUUAACUAGAGUAUGAUAGAGGAAAGUGGAAUUUCUAGUGUAGAGGUGAAAUUCGUAGAUAUUAGAAAGAACACCAAUUGCGAAGGCAACUUUCUGGAUCAUUACUGACACUGAGGAGCGAAAGCAUGGGUAGCGAAGAGGAUUAGAUACCCUCGUAGUCCAUGCUGUAAACGAUGUGUGCUAGACGUUGGAAAUUUAUUUUUCAGUGUCGCAGCAAAAGCGUUAAGCACACCGCCUGGGGAGUACGACCGCAAGGUUAAAACUCAAAUGAAUUGACGGGGACCCGCACAAGUAGUGGAGCAUGUGGUUUAAUUCGAAGAUACGCGCAGAACCUUACCAACACUUGACAUGUUCGUCGCGACUUUAAGAAAUUAAAGUUUUCGGUUCGGCCGGACGAAACACAGGUGCUGCAUGGCUGUCGUCAGCUCGUGUCGUGAGAUGUUGGGUUAAGUCCCGCAACGAGCGCAACCCUUACUUUUAGUUGCUACCAUUUAGUUGGGCACUCUAAAAGAACUGCCAGUGAUAAGCUGGAGGAAGGUGGGGAUGACGUCAAGUCCUCAUGGCCCUUACGUGUUGGGCUACACACGUGCUACAAUGGUACUCACAGAGAGAAGCGAAGAGGCGACUCUAAGCUAAUCCCAAAAAGGUACCUCAGUUCGGAUUGCACUCUGCAACUCGAGUGCAUGAAGCUGGAAUUACUAGUAAUCGCGGAUCAGCGCGCCGCGGUGAAUACGUUCCCGGGUCUUGUACACACCGCCCGUCACACCAUGGAAGUUGGUUACACCUUAAGGCAAAGCGUAAAACCUUUGACUACGGUACGAUCAGCGACUGGGGUGAAGUCGUAACAAGGUAGCCGUAGGGGAACCUGCGGCUGGAUCACCUCCUUUCU
rnacentral:rRNA from 1 species